rnacentral:rRNA from 1 species
AAUCAACGCUGGCGGCGUGCCUAACACAUGCAAGUCGAACGAGAAAGUGGAGCAAUCCAUGAGUAAAGUGGCGACCGGGUGAGUAACACGUGACUAACCUACCCUGAAGUGGGGAAUAACCUCGGGAAACCGGGGCUAAUACCGCAUAACAUCGCGAGCUGUAAACGCUUGUGAUCAAAGGAGCAAUUCGCUUUAGGAGGGGGUCGCGGCUGAUUAGUUAGUUGGUGAGGUAACGGCUCACCAAGACAAAGAUCAGUAUCCGGCCUGAGAGGGCGCACGGACACACUGGAACUGAAACACGGUCCAGACUCCUACGGGAGGCAGCAGUGGGGAAUUUUGCGCAAUGGGGGAAACCCUGACGCAGCAACGCCGCGUGGAGGAUGAAGUCCCUUGGGAUGUAAACUCCUUUCGAUCGGGACGAUUAUGACGGUACCGGAAGAAGAAGCACCGGCUAACUCUGUGCCAGCAGCCGCGGUAAUACGAGGGUGGCAAGCGUUGUCGGAAUUAUUGGGCGUAAGGGCGCGUAGGCGGUGCUGUAAGUCUGUAGUGAAAUCUCUGGGCUCAACUCAGAGUCUGCAUAGAAACUGCAGUGCUGAGUGUGGGAGAGGUGAGUGGAUCCCGGUGUAGCGGUGAAAUGCGU